AACGAACGCUGGCGGCAUGCCUAACACAUGCAAGUCGAACGAGACCUUCGGGUCUAGUGGCGCACGGGUGCGUAACGCGUGGGAAUCUGCCCUUGGGUUCGGAAUAACAGUUAGAAAUGACUGCUAAUACCGGAUAAUGUCUUCGGACCAAAGAUUUAUCGCCCAGGGAUGAGCCCGCGUAGGAUUAGCUAGUUGGUGAGGUAAAGGCUCACCAAGGCGACGAUCCUUAGCUGGUCUGAGAGGAUGAUCAGCCACACUGGGACUGAGACACGGCCCAGACUCCUACGGGAGGCAGCAGUGGGGAAUAUUGGACAAUGGGCGAAAGCCUGAUCCAGCAAUGCCGCGUGAGUGAUGAAGGCCUUAGGGUUGUAAAGCUCUUUUACCCGGGAUGAUAAUGACAGUACCGGGAGAAUAAGACCCGGCUAACUCCGUGCCAGCAGCCGCGGUAAU
rnacentral:rRNA from 1 species